rnacentral:rRNA from 1 species
GAUGAACGCUGGCGGCGUGCCUAAUACAUGCAAGUCGAACGGGGAGUAGCAAUACUCUUAGUGGCGAACGGGUGAGUAACGCGUUGGUACCUGCCCCGAAGCGGGGGAUAACGGACCGAAAGGUCCGCUAAUACCCCAUGUGCUCGGUAACGAGUAAAGGUGAAAACCACUUUGGGAGGGGCCUGCGUCCCAUCAGCUAGUUGGUAAGGUAACGGCUUACCAAGGCGAUGACGGGUAGGGGACCUGAGAGGGUGGCCCCCCACAAUGGAACUGAAACACGGUCCAUACACCUACGGGUGGCAGCAGUAGGGAAUAUUGGCAAUGGGCGCAAGCCUGAACCAGCAACGCCGCGUGUGCGAUGACGGCCUUCGGGUUGUAAAGCACUUUUGACUGGGACGAGGAAGGACGGUACCGGUCGAAUCAGCCUCGGCUAACUACGUG